rnacentral:rRNA from 1 species
CAUGCAAGUCGAACGAUGAAGCCUGCAACUUGUUGUGGGUGGAUUAGUGGCGAACGGGUGAGUAAUACGUGGGUAACCUGCCCUCCUUUUUGGGAUAAGCCUUGGAAACGGGGUCUAAUACCGAAUAUUCUGGCGCUCUCGCAUGGGGGUGUUGGGAAAGCUUUUGUGUGAAGGGGGAUGGGCUCGCGGCCUAUCAGCUUGUUGGUGGGGUGAUGGCCUACCAAGGCGGUGACGGGUAGCCGGCCUGAGAGGGUGACCGGCCACAUUGGGACUGAGAUACGGCCCAGACUCCUACGGGAGGCAGCAGUGGGGGAUAUUGCACAAUGGGCGAAAGCCUGAUGCAGCGACGCCGCGUGGGGGAUGAAGGCUUUCGGGUUGUAAACCUCUUUCGCUAUCGAACAAGGCCCGCUUAGGGUGGGUU